rnacentral:rRNA from 1 species
AUUGAACACUGGCGGCAGGCUUAACACAUGCAAGUCGAGCGGAGAUGAGGUGCUUGCACCUUAUCUUAGCGGCGGACGGGUGAGUAAUGCUUAGGAAUCUGCCUAUUAGUGGGGGACAACAUUCCGAAAGGAAUGCUAAUACCGCAUACGCCCUACGGGGGAAAGCAGGGGAUCUUCGGACCUUGCGCUAAUAGAUGAGCCUAAGUCGGAUUAGCUUGUUGGUGGGGUAAAGGCCUACCAAGGCGACGAUCUGGAGCGGGUCUGAGAGGAUGAGCCGCCACACUGGGACUGAGACACGGGCCAGACUCCUACGGGAGGCAGCAGUGGGGAAUAUUGGAGAAUGGGCGGAAGCCUGAUCCAGCCAUGCCGCGUGUGUGAAGAAGGCCUUUUGGUUGUAAAGCACUUUAAGCGAGGAGGAGGCUACCUGGAUUAAUACUCUAGGAUAGUGGACGUUACUCGCAGAAUAAGCACCGGCUAACUCUGUGCCAGCCGCCGCGGUAAUAC